UCUAUCACCUGACUCGGCUCAAACAUGGCUGCGCUGGAAGCUCUAUUGCUUUGGGUACCAGGAGCAGGAGGCGCUCCACGAAUGAGAAAAUUGACAAUGUGUUCUGCGUAAUUCAUCUCUUUUCUAUCUCCCUGCACUCUGUGCUGGGAAAAUGCAUCAUCCAUUUGGAAAAGAGGAAAUUGCUUCUCAGAAGCAGCUUUUUGGGUUUUUCUGUGAGUGCCUUCGCAGAGGAGAAUGGGAGCUGGCACAGGCAUGUGUACCUCAGCUACACGAGGCACAAGGGGAUAUCCCAAAGAAGGUGGAAGAUAUACUUCAGGCGCUCGUGGUGUGUCCAGAUCAGCUGAGAUGUGGACAGGACAUCAACCCUCAAAGAUUAGCCUGGAUCUGGUUUCUUGUACUGGAAAAAUGGUUCUCCCAGGAAAAGAAAUUACUCCCAAGUGUUUUCCGGAGAAAGCUUGAGUUUCUUUUAUUAUCAGAAGACCUCCAAAGUGACAUUCCUGAGGACAUCCUCAAGGAGCUAUAUGAGGCCCUAGCACAAGAUUCAGGAGGCCCUGUGCUUGAUGGAAAUCAGAGGCGGGAUAGCUGGACCCCUCGGCUCAGCUCAGAAGCCGUCUCUGUGCUGUGGGAUCUUCUGAGGCAGUCUCCCCAGCCAGCACAGGCCCUGCUGGAGCUCCUGCUUAGAGAAGACGAUGGCACUGGCCUCUGUGGCUGGCCCCUGCAGAAGGCACUGGUGGACUUCAUUCGAAGGGCGCUUCAGGCUGUGCGGGGCUCCGCCACUGGGCCCCCUGGUGAAGUAGAUGCUAUCUAUGGAGCCCUGCGGACUCUGCAUUGCCCUGCAGAGCCUCUCGAAGUUGAGCUGCAUCUCCUUUGUGAAGAACUACUGGAGGCCUGCAGGGCUGAGGGGAACCCCCUGCAGGAGGAGCGGGUGCUCAGCUGCCUGCUCCACAAGGCAGGACGGAGCCUGCUAUCCCUGUAUGGCCAUAUUUAUGCAGAGAAGGCCGCAGAAAAGCCAGCAAGGACCAUACCCUCGGGAAAAGUCUCCCCCGAUCAUCUAGAUCCUGAGCAGGCAAUGCUGGCCCUGUUCUCCAAUCCUGACCCAGCCCAGGCUUGGAAAUCAGCCUGUUUCUACUGCUUGAGCAACAGCAAGCACUUCCUCGAGCAGAUCCUGGUGACAGCACUCACGCUGCUGAAAGAGGAAGACUUCCCAAGUCUUGGCUGCCUACUCGACAGAGAAUUCAGGCCUCUUAGUCGACUGCUCGUGCUCCUGGGCUGGACACACUGCCAGAGCCUAGCAUCAGCCAAGAGUCUGCUCCAGACACUCCACAGGACCCAGGACCAGGGCUGUGACAAGCUCCUCAGGGAUGCCUGUGAUGGGCUGUGGGCUCACCUAGAGGUCCUGGAGUGGUGUGUACAGCAGAGCAGCAACCCCAUACCAAAGAGAGAUCUCUUAUGUCAUUUACAUGGUGGAGACAGCCACUCUGUGCUGUACUCUCUCCAUCACCUUACCAACCUUCCAGCUCUCAGGGAGGAAGAUGUUCUCAAGCUCUUACAGAUGGUGCCAGCCAAGGACCCCCAGCAAGAGCAUGAUUCAGCCGAUGCCCCAGUCCCUGAGCACCUGAGCCGGUGUCAGAACCUGACCCUGUACCAGAGCUUCUGUGCCAUGAAGUAUGCCAUCUAUGCCCUCUGUGUGAACUCACACCAGCACUCCCAGUGCCAGGAAUGCAGAGAGAGCCCUUCUGAGGACCUGGCCUUGGCUGCAGAGCCAGCAAAUGAUUCUGUCUCCUCCCCAGGUGCUUCAGAUCUCUUCUCAGCAUACCUGGCCAGAUGUCAACAGUAUCUGUGCAGUAUUCCUGACUCUUUGUGCCUGGAACUUCUAGAAAACAUCUUCUCAUUGCUCCUCAUCACCUCUGCCGAUCUUCACCCAGAGCCUCACCUGCCUGAGGACUAUGCUGAGGAUGAUGACGUUGGGAGGAAGGGCCUGAUGGAUUUGAGGUCACCGUCAGAGAGCCCUCAGCACAUAGCACAACCUGAGAAGAAGUCAGAACGGGGUGGCCAGGGAGUCCCCAGGAGCCUUGCUUCUAUAAUCCCAAGCUGUCUGAAGACAGAGCCAAAAGACAGUUCCCCAGAGCCCCAUGGGCACAGCUUUUUGGACCUAAAGCACUUUACUAGUGGUAUCAGUGGGUUCCUGGCUGAUGAAUUUGCAAUAGGGGCCUUCCUCAGACUUCUCCAGGAACAGCUGGAUAAACUCAGUAGCCACAACCCCCCUGAGAAGCCAAAGCUGCCAGAAGGCCAGAGCUGCUAUGGAAGCAGAGACGGACUGCAGAGCCGCUUGCACCGGUUUUCCAAGGUUCUUUCUGAGGCCCAGUGGAGAUACAAGGUGGUAUCAAGCAACCAGGGCUCAGAGGAACAACCUUCCCGAAGAUACCGGCCCAUUGCCACACGACACCCAAGUCUCCGCCGGGGGCGUCGGACUAGAAGGAGCCGGCCAGAUGGCCGGGACAAAGGUUCCAAUCCAUCCCUGGAAAGUACAAGUAGUGAGCUGAGCACAAGUACUUCAGAAGGAAGUCUGAACACUGUGUCUGGAAGGAACGAGCUGGAUGGCCGAUUGCAGACUCAGUGUCAAAGUUCAGUCAUCCCCAUGAUGUUCUCCCCACCUGAGUCACUGCUGGCAUCCUGCAUCCUCCGGGGGAACUUUGCAGAAGCCCACCAGGUGGUGUUCAUGUUCAACCUGAAGUCCUCGCCCAGCUCAGGGGAACUGAUGUUUGUGGAGCGCUACCAGGAGGUGAUCCAGGAACUGGCCCGGGUAGAACACAAGAUUGAAAACCAGAACUCAGAUGGCGGGAGCAGCACCAUUCGGAGAACAGGCAGCGGCCGCUCGACUCUACAAGCCAUCGGCAGUGCAGCAGCAGCAGGAAUGGUAUUUUACUCCAUCUCUGAUGUGACUGACAAGCUACUCAGCACCGCUGGAGAACCCAUCCCCACCCUCCAGGAGGACUUUUGGAUAAGCAACACCCUGGUGGAGCCCACUGCUCCCCUGAGAGAGGUUCUGGAAGACCUCAGUCCCCCUGCCAUGGCUGCAUUUGACCUAGCUUGCUCUCAGUGCCAGCUCUGGAAAACCUGCAAGCAGCUCUUAGAAACAGCUGAACGACGUCUAAACAUUAGCCUCGAGAGCCGGGGUCGGCAGCUAGACCAGGUACUCCUCAAUGCUGAUGGCAUUCGAGGUUUUCCUGUUGUUCUUCAGCAAAUCAGUAAGAUUCUCAAUUAUCCACUUAUAUCAGCUGGACAAACUAAAUCGGAGAGCGUAGAAGAAAAAGGAGGGGGCCCUCCGCGGUGCAGCAUAGCUGAGCUGCUUCAGAUGUGUUGGCCCAGCCUAACCGAGGACUGUGUCGCCGGCCACACCACCCUGUCCCAGCAGCUGGAACAAGUCCUCCAGGCGCUGAGAGAGGCUCUACAGCUGCCAGAGCCCAGGAGUACUCCACUCUCCUCACUGGUGGAGCAGGCGGCCCAGAAAGCUCCAGAGGCAGAGGCCCACCCUGUGCACAUCCAGACUCAGCUCCUCCAGAAGAAUUUGGGCAGACAGACCCCAGCAGGCAGCAGACAGACUGACUACCUAGGCACCUUCUUCAGUUACUGCAGCACCAUGGCCGCGGUUCUCCUUCGGAGUUUGAGUUCUGAGCCCGAUCACAUGGAAGUCAAGGUAGGAAAUCCAUUUGUUCUCCUGCAACAGAGCUCUUCCCAACUUGUGUCACACCUCCUGCUUGAGCGACAAGUUCCCCCAGACAGGCUGGCAGUCCUUCUGGCCCGAGAGGGGCUCAACCUGAGUGUGCCGAAGGUCAUUGUUAACUGCUGCUGUGAGCAUCUUGCCCUUUGCUCUUCCCAGCAAAGUCAGCAGACAUCAUCCCUUGUGACCCAGCUGGGCGUCAUGGUCCAGCUGCACACCUCCCACUGCCUGGAUGACCUCCCACUUUCUACACUGAGCUCCCCGAAGCCAACUGGGAAUCCCACAUUGGAGAGAAAGCCCCGCUCCUCCCCAAGGAAUUCAUCACUCCCAGCCCUUACCUCUUCUGCCUUGGCCUUCCUUAAGUCCCGCUCAAAGCUGCUGGCCACAGUGGCCUGUCUAGGAGCUUCCCAGGGGUCAAAGCUCACCAAGCCCAGCUUGUCAUGGAAGGAGCUUCGUGGCCGCAGGGAAGUGCCUCUGAGCGCAGAGCAGGUAGCCCAGGAGUGUGAACGCCUCCUGGAACAGUUCCCUAUGCUUAAGGCCUCCCUCAUGGCUGCCUGGGAGCCCCUACGACGGUCCACUGAGCAGGGGCAGAGCCUGGCAGUGAGUCUCUGUGGUCGAGCCAGUCUGUCUACCGUCCUCCUGGGCCUGCACUCUCCCAGUGCUCUAGAUGUGCUUACUGAGGCCUUCAAGGAAGCCCUGGUGGCCAGAGAUUGGCCCCAAGCCCUUCAGCUCACAGAAGUGUACGGGCGAGAUGUGGAUGACUUGAGCAACAUAAAGGAUGCGGUCCUGAGCUGUGCCGCGGCAUGUGACAAAGACGGUUGGCAGUUCCUGUUUCCUGUGAAGGACGCAUCUCUGAGAAGUCGGCUAACCCUACAGUUUAUGGACAGGUGGCCCCUGGAGUGGUGCCUGGAGAUCCUGGCAUACUGCAUCUCAGACACAACUGUCCAAGAUGGACUGAAGUGUGAGCUACAGAGAAAGCUAGCAGAGCUGCGGGUGUAUCAGAAGAUUCUAGGUUUGCAAGCUACCGUGGUAUGGUGUGACUGGCAGACCCUGAGGAACUGUUGCCUUGAGGACCCAUCAACUGUCAUGAACAUGAUUCUAGAAGCAAAGGAGUAUGGACUGUGUGAAGAGUGGGGCUGCCUCUACCCCAUUCCAAGAGAGCAUUUAAUCAGCCUACAUCAAAAGCAUCUUCUCCACCUUCUAGAAAAAGGAGAUCAUGAAAAGGCUCUGCAACUCCUACGAAGAAUUCCUGACCCCACCAUGUGCCUUGAGGUCACAGAGCAAUCCCUUGACCAGCACCCUAGCUUAGCCGCUUCUCACUUCCUGGCCAACUACCUCACCACCCACUUCUACGGAGAACUGUCUGCUGUCCGACACCGUGAAAUCCAGGCGCUAUACAUAGGAUCCAAGGUUCUACUGACCUUACCUGAGCCACACCGGGCCAACUACUCCCAUUUGUCUUCUAACCCCCUCCUCAUGCUGGAACAGCUACUCAUGAACAUGAAAGUGGACUGGGCCACUGUGGCUGUGCAGACUCUGCAGCAGCUGCUAACUGGGCAGGAGAUUGGCUUUACCAUGGAUGAGGUUGACUCACUGCUUUCCAGAUAUGCAGGAAAAGCCUUGGAUUUCCCGUACUCUCUGAGGGAGAAACGAUCAGAUUCUGUGAUUCAUCUCCAGGAAGUUGGGCAGGCUUCAGACCUUGAGACCUUGUCUAGAUCUCCAUCAGCAGAGUUCUCUUCUGCUGCUGCUCCUGGUGUCUCCACUGUACGUUCCCCCAGUCCAAGGGAGAGGAGCUUCCCAGAGAAUCAGCCCCCCCCAGAGUUUGUCCCCCCAGCAACACCCCCUGGCAGGCAUCAGUGGGUGCCUGACGAGAGUGCAAGCGUCUGCAUGGUCUGCUGCAGGGAGCGCUUCACCAUGUUCAACAGGCGUCAUCAUUGUCGCCGCUGUGGCCGGCUAGUGUGCAGUGCCUGCUCCACUAAGAAAAUGCAGGUGGAAGGCUGCAGAGAGAGCCCUACUCGCGUGUGUGACCAGUGCUAUAGUUACUACAACAAAGAUGUGCCAGAGGAGAAUCCAGAACAACCAGAAGCACCACCCAGCUCCAAGAGUGAAAGCCCUCCAUACUCAGCUGUGGUGAGAGUCCCCAAAGCAGCUGAGGUGGAAUGGAUUUUGGAUCUGAAUGAGGAGGAAAAUGAGCUGAUGCGGAGUGAAUUCUACUAUGAGCAGUCCCCCAGUGCCUCCUUGUGCAUUGCCAUCUUGAAUCUGCACCGGGACAGCACUGCGUGUGGCCACCAGCUAAUUGAGCACUGCUGCAAGCUGUCCCAGGGCCUCACCAACCCAGAGGUGGAUGCAGGGCUACUCACAGACAUCAUGAAGCAGCUUCUUUUCAGCGCCAAGAUGAUGUUCGUCAAGGCUGGCCGGAGCCAGGACCUCGCUCUCUGUGACAGCUACAUCAGCAAGGUAGAUGUGCUGAAUAUCUUAGUUGCUGCUUCAUAUCGCCACGUGCCAUCUCUGGAUCAGAUCUUGCAGCCGGCUGCAGUAACCAGGCUAAGGAACCAGCUUUUGGAAGCUGAGUACUACCAACUGGGUGUUGAGAUCUCCACAAAGACUGGCCUUGAUCCCACUGGAGCGUGGCAUGCUUGGGGCAUGGCCUGCCUCAAAGCCGGGAACCUCACUGCUGCACGGGAGAAGUUCAGUCGCUGUUUGAAGCCCCCUUUUGACCUCAAUCAGCUGAGUCAUGGCUCAAGACUGGUACAAGAUGUGGUUGAGUACCUGGAGUCCACAGUGAGGCCACUCCUGUCCUUGCAAGAUGAUGAUUAUUUUGCUACCUUGAAAGAACUGGAAACUACCCUUCGGACCCAGAGCCUCUCUCUGGAGGUGAUUCCUGAAGGGAAAAUCAUGAACAACACCUACUACCAAGAAUGCCUCUUCUACCUGCAUAACUAUAGCACCAACCUGGCCAUCAUCAGCUUCUACAUGAGGCACAGCUGCCUACGGGAAGCGUUACUCCACCUCCUCAACAAGGAGAGUCCUCCAGAAGUCUUCAUAGAAGGCAUUUUCCAGCCAAGUUAUAAAAGUGGGAAGCUACACACUUUGGAGAACUUGUUAGAAUCCAUUGAUCCAACCUUAGAGAGCUGGGGAAAGUACUUGAUAGCUGCCUGCCAACAUUUACAGAAGAAGAACUACUACCACAUUCUAUAUGAGCUACAGCAGUUUAUGAAGGACCAAGUCCGGGCCGCCAUGACCUGUAUCCGGUUCUUCAGUCACAAAGCAAAGACUUACACAGAACUGGGAGAGAAACUCUCGUGGUUACUUAAGGCCAAGGACCACCUGAAGAUCUACCUCCAAGACACCUCUCGCAGCACCAGAAGGAAGAAAACCACCUUCUUCCAAAAGAAGAUGACUGCAGCUGAUGUGUCCAGGCACAUGAACACACUUCAGCUGCAGAUGGAAGUGACCAGGUUCUUACAUCGGUGUGAAAGUGCUGGGACCUCUCAAAUCACCACCUUGCCUCUGCCAACCCUCUUUGGAAAUAACCACAUGAAAAUGGAUGUUGCCUGCAAGGUCAUGCUAGGAGGGAAAAAUGUGGAAGAUGGUUUUGGAAUUGCAUUCCGUGUUCUGCAGGACUUCCAGCUGGAUGCUGCAGCGACCUACUGCAGAGCUGCCCGGCAGCUGGUGGAGAGGGAGAAAUACAGUGAAAUCCAACAGCUGCUCAAGUGUGUCAGUGAGUCAGGCAUGGCGGCCAAAAGUGAUGGGGACACCAUCCUCCUCAACUGCUUGGAAGCAUUCAAGAGAAUUCCACCCCAGGAGCUGGAGGUCCUGAUCCAGGCAAUACACAGUGAUGACAACAAGGUUCAGGCCUACCUGACAUGUUGCAAACUGCGUUCUGCCUACUUGGUUGCUGUGAAGCAAGAACACUCACGGGCUGCAGCCCUUGUCCAGCAGGUGCAGCAGGCUGCCAGGAGCAGUGGGGAUGCAGUAGUGCAAGACAUCUGCACCCAGUGGCUUCUGACGAGCCACACCCGGAGCACCCACAGCUCAGGCUCCAGAAAGUGACCGUGUGCAGCGAGGCCUGACUACUAUAGAAUAGGAGAGAUGGAGAUGAUCUCUACCUCUCCCCUCCUGUGCAGUGGGACUUCCCCGGCUCUGCCCCAGGUCGGAAAGAGCUGGAUCGGACCCUACUUGCCACCUUGGGCAAGGAUAGGACCUUUCACGCCACGCAAGUGCCAUGUUUCUGUCAAACUGUGGGAUCUACGUGUUCAUCCGGAGAUGGCCAGUUCUUUCUACCUCAGCGUGAAAACUUAUCUCCUCGAAUUUCUCUUUAAAGAAGAACAACAACAGCAACUUCAGAAACAAACACAACAAAUAAAAACUGAUGAAAGUGGACCUGAAAAUUAUCUGUUAUGGACAUGGCACAAGAUGUGUCACAACACAGAUAAUUAGAACACCCAAUCUAAAUCUAGGAUAUGGGACCACGGACUAUGUUUAGAAACCUGAGACACUCCAGAGUUACCAGAUAUCUUUGGCUGGAGCUUAAACAAAGCAGGUCAAAUGCUAUUAGACUCUCUUCAUACCCAAGCAACCAAAUAUCAAUAGUCACAUAACCCAAAGGUUAUGGCCUUUUCUUGGUCAUCAUCCUCUCUUCUACAGUAAUAAUGUUGACUGACCCAUUAAAACUUCCAGUUCUUUUACAACAAAUUCAUUCCACAUGUGAUUACCAAAAGGCUUCUCCGGUGGAAUCCUUUCCUGUUCCAUUUCUUCAUGUUGUUAUUUCUUUCACCACCUACCAGUCUCUGGUCUGCCAUUAUCAAAACCCUUUCUUCAGGCUCAUUUUAAGUGCCAUUUCCUCUACAAAUUACUUGCUUCUCGGGCUAUACUUCCUCUUCAUGCCACUUAAAGGCUAAAAUUCUUCAAAGUUCUAUCCAUUCUCUCUUGACAUUUAAUACUCUCCCAUACCAUCCCAUAACUUCAGCAGUCAUCUUGGUUGGCUGAGUUCUAAACCAAAUUUGUCCCUCUUAACUCCUUUCCACAUCACACCUGCCUUUUGAUUGCUUCUUGAAGUCACCCACGUGGCUAACCUGUAACUAAAAAUAUCAAGUCCAAAAUGGAACACAUUCUAUUCCACCUACAAACCUGAUCUUCCUCCUUUGAUGAAUAUUGGUAUUACUGUUAUUACCGUUAUGCAUGCUGCCGGGGUUAGCAACCUCAGGGUUUCUCUGUAUUGACUAUUCACCCUCCUCAUUCAAACAUUUAGAUACUUACCUCAAAAAUAAAUACCUCAAAUACCUCAAAAACAAGUAAAUAAACAUUAAAAAUAUAUAUAAAUAAACGAAAGAUCUGAUGGUGGCCUAAGGAAAUCUAUGAUCUAAGAGGCAGACAAAGGAGGAGCAACUGGGCAAGAGAUCCCAGAGGGAGGAGGAAAACCAGGAGAAUGGAGGUUAUAGAAGUCAAGGAAGUAAGUGUUGACUUCCAGUUUCCACAUGGCUCUUUUUACUCUUGAAAACCACCUCCAAAGAGCCAAGGAGAAACAAACUAAACAAACAUACUUCCAAACAGAAACUCUAUCUUUGAUAAACUAGGAGACAACUGUUAAGAAAAAUUCACAGGUCGCCUGGGUGGCUCAGUUGAUUGAGUCUGAUUUUAGCUCAGGUCAUGAUCCCAGGGUCAUGAGAUCAAACCCCACAUCGGGCACCAUGCUGAGCGUGGAGCCUGCUUAAGAGUCUCUCU